AACGAACGCUGGCGGCAGGCCUAACACAUGCAAGUCGAGCGCUCCGCAAGGAGAGCGGCAGACGGGUGAGUAACGCGUGGGAACCUUCCCUAUGGUUCGGAAUAGCCCAGGGAAACUUGGGGUAAUACCGGAUAAGCCCUUCGGGGGAAAGAUUUAUCGCCAUUGGAUGGGCCCGCGUCGGAUUAGCUAGUUGGUGGGGUAACGGCCUACCAAGGCGACGAUCCGUAGCUGGUCUGAGAGGAUGAUCAGCCACACUGGGACUGAGACACGGCCCAGUCUCCUACGGGAGGCAGCAGUGGGGAAUAUUGGACAAUGGGCGCAAGCCUGAUCCAGCCAUGCCGCGUGAGUGACGAAGGCCUUAGGGUUGUAAAGCUCUUUUGGCGGGGAAGAUAAUGACGGUACCCGCAGAAUAAGCUCCGGCUAACUUCGUGCCAGCAGCCGCGGUAAUACGAAGGGAGCUAGCGUUGUUCGGAAUCACUGGGCGUAAAGCGCACGUAGGCGGACUUGUC
rnacentral:rRNA from 1 species